ACUCCUACGGGAGGCAGCAGUGGGGAAUAUUGCACAAUGGGGGAAACCCUGAUGCAGCCAUGCCGCGUGUGUGAAGAAGGCCUUCGGGUUGUAAAGCACUUUCAGUAGGGAGGAAGGUAGUGUAGUUAACACCUGCACUAUUUGACGUUACCUACAGAAGAAGCACCGGCUAACUCCGUGCCAGCAGCCGCGGUAAUACGGAGGGUGCGAGCGUUAAUCGGAAUUACUGGGCGUAAAGCGCAUGCAGGUGGUUUGUUAAGUCAGAUGUGAAAGCCCGGGGCUCAACCUCGGAAUUGCAUUUGAAACUGGCAGACUAGAGUACUGUAGAGGGGGGUAGAAUUUCAGGUGUAGCGGUGAAAUGCGUAGAGAUCUGAAGGAAUACCGGUGGCGAAGGCGGCCCCCUGGACAGAUACUGACAUCAGAUGCG
rnacentral:rRNA from 1 species